AAAUCUUCAUGCUGGUAGCUGAGUCUCUGUGGGUUCUUGAUGGGUUAUUAUCUACUCCUCCGACGUGGUUAAAGAUCCAGCUCUAGUUUUAGAGAAAUUUCUCACCAGUGGUAAUUAGCAGCAAGCUGAGCAGAGGAAAAAUAUGCUGACAGGCAGAAAAUCUCUACAUGAGAAUACAAGUUGGUCAUGCUCUGGGAAGAAGUGGUUUGCUGCAGUCCUGGCUUGGAUUUCCCUUUGUUCAUUAUUUCAUGAAACUGAGGCAGUCCUAUUGGAAUGAGUCUCUGAUCUACUGUGGGAAAGGCAACUCCGAGGAUAUUCUUCCCAAGAAGGAUGUUAAGAUGUAGAGCAUUUUGUGGGAGAAUCUGAGAACGUCAGAGAACCAGCUCUCAUACAGCAGUUGUUCCCCAAAUACAGCACAGCAAAUUGGACUUUUAUUGAUAUAAUUCAUCCCAUAAAUAGAAAAACAUGGAAACGUGUGACAAAAAUACUUGAAAGUAGACUGCAAAUUUUUACCAACACACAAAGAGAUCAAUCCUGAAGUAAAAGAAACGCAUCUAUUAUAGGGCUGGAAACAAAUUUAUUUCUCUCUAUAUUUUUUUCCUACUGAUUGGAGAAGGAGGAGAGAGAGCAACAAAGCAAUGUAUUUGUAGCAGUAGAUGUCAGGAAAGAUAUCGUGAUGAACGUCUGCCUUUUUGCUGUAAGUAAAUCUUCUCUGUCAGACUCCUGUAAGGGUCUUGAGUGCAGCGCUGUCUUAAACUUUUAAACUGGUAUUAAAUGUAUCCUAACUCUUGUCAGCAUC